rnacentral:rRNA from 1 species
AUUGAACGCUGGCGGCAUGCUUUACACAUGCAAGUCGAACGGUAACAGGGAGCUUGCUCCGCUGACGAGUGGCGAACGGGUGAGUAAUGCAUCGGAACGUACCCAGUCGUGGGGGAUAACGUAGCGAAAGUUACGCUAAUACCGCAUACGUCCUGAGGGAGAAAGCGGGGGACCGUAAGGCCUCGCGCGAUUGGAGCGGCCGAUGUCGGAUUAGCUAGUUGGUGGGGUAAAGGCCUACCAAGGCGACGAUCCGUAGCGGGUCUGAGAGGAUGAUCCGCCACACUGGGACUGAGACACGGCCCAGACUCCUACGGGAGGCAGCAGUGGGGAAUUUUGGACAAUGGGGGCAACCCUGAUCCAGCCAUGCCGCGUGAGUGAAGAAGGCCUUCGGGUUGUAAAGCUCUUUCAGACGGAAAGAAAACGCAUCGGUGAAUACCCGG